rnacentral:lncRNA from 1 species
GGAGGUUUCCGGCCCGGGGCCCGACUGCGGGUGGCAUUUCUGGCUAAGCCGUUAGGCGCGAAUUUUCUGUGUCCAGAAAACACAGGGCACGUUACCCGGUAUCGUGGUCUACACCUCGCCCACAAAUCCAUCCCAGGCUGUAUCCUCAUGGAAGCUUUUUCCAGAUGUGCUUGAGGGUUAAGAUCGCAAUGUGCAAGAAGAAAAAGUGCACAUUGGAAAACCUUCUCUUCGGAGAUAUCUAUAUCUAUAUUUAUAUAUAUUUACAGAUAUGGAGAUAUAUACACACACGUAUCUGAAAACAUUCUGACGUUUUAAAAACGGAGCACCAGAGGAGGGGGACUUCAUCUGACUUGUUCAGCACUGUCUCCCAGGCCCUGGCACAGAGGGAGCACUCGAUACACACCGAUGGGCUGAAGGUGUGAAUGGAUCUGGGGACUAGAGUGAUGGUUAUUUGGCAGACAGCAUGCCCCGCCUGGGCAGUAGCCGUGAAGACUCUUCUUUUCCUCUCCUCGCCUGCACUCUUUAGGAUUGAACAGCAUUGGUUCAAUGCAUAUUCUGGGAGCACAGAGAAAAAAGGGAUCAAGUUCCACCAUUAUGCAAAAGGGACUCCUGUAAGCCAGGUGAAGAAGGGGCAAGGCCCUUCUUGGUCAGCAGGGAUAAGGCAGUUGUGUAUGGGAGAGCAUGCGAGGAGGGCGAGGGCUGGGGGAGAUGGAGCAGGAACAUUUGGUUGGGGCUCUGAGGCACUCUUCUGCUUGGGGAGUGUGUGGGCAAAGGCAGGGGCUGUGCAGGAAGGAUUUAGCUAAAGCCAUAAAGCUGGAAGAGGGUUUGGGGAACGGCUUUGAAGUUACAUUUGUUUUGCAAGUUCUUUGUUUUUAUUAAUGUUUGCAUGUUAUUUGGGUAGCUGUAGGGAGUAGGUUUUCGGGGAGUUAAAGUGCACUCUCUCACCCCUCCUUCAGUCCUACUACUGCCCCUAGAUACACAAUCACCUCAAGUGACUUUCACGUCACCAGGAAUGGGCAAAGUCUAGAUUUUGGAACAGAAAAUAUUUUAGGUCCCCGUCCCUCUCUGUAACCAAUAACCAAUGCCAUAUAAAUGGAAAAGUAUAAAAAAAAAAAAAAAAAAAAAAAAAAAAAAAAA